rnacentral:rRNA from 1 species
GGUGAGUAUACAUCGGAGUGUACCUUGUAGUGGGGGAUAGCUCGGCGAAAGCCGGAUUAAUACCGCAUACGCUCUGAGGAGGAGGGCGGGGGACCUUCGGGCCUCGUGCUACGAGAGCAGCCGAUGUCAGAUUAGCUAGUUGGUGGGGUAAGAGCUCACCAAGGCGACGAUCUGUAUCUGGUCUGAGAGGACGACCAGCCACACUGGGACUGAGACACGGCCCAGACUCCUACGGGAGGCAGCAGUGGGGAAUUGUGGACAAUGGGCGAAAGCCUGAUCCAGCAGUGCCGCGUGUGUGAAGAAGGCCUUCGGGUUGUAAAGCACUUUUGUCCGGAAAGAAAUCCUUUGGGUUAAUACCUCGGGGGGAUGACGGUACCGGAAGAAUAAGCACCGGCUAACUACGUGCCAGCAGCCGCGGUAAUACGUAGGGUGCAAGCGUUAAUCGGAAUUACUGGGCGUAAAGCGUGCGCAGGCGGUUUUGUAAGACAGAUGUGAAAUCCCCGGGCUUAACCUGGGAACUGCAUUCGUGACUGCAAGGCUAGAGUAUGGC